GGUGUUGUUCGUGCCAAGUUCAAGUCUAAUCUCCCUCCGAGAUCUAUGGGAGACAGGGUCAGAGUCUUCAUGUAUCCCAGCAACAUAUAAGUGGUGCGCUUGGUGGAGGAUGCAAGGUGGAAUAGUUGAAUUUGGAUCUUGCCCUUACAUGAGAGUUAAGCUUUUAGUUUUUGUUCUCAGGAGCAAAUACUAGCUAGCUGCUUUUUCUGUUUUGUUUGUUUAAUUUGUUUGGAUUUUGAAACAUGAGACAAUGUUCAUGGUUUAUCUCGAAA
rnacentral:misc_RNA from 1 species